rnacentral:rRNA from 1 species
UACAGAGGGGGCGAGCGUUAUUCGGAAUUAUUGGGCGUAAAGCGUGCGUAGGCGGCUUGUUAAGUCUGGUGUGAAAGCUAGGGGCUCAACCCCUGUGUUGCACUGGAAACUGGCAGGCUUGAGUGCGGUAGGGGAAGGUGGAAUUCCGAGUGUAGCGGUGAAAUGCGUAGAUAUUCGGAAGAACACCGGUGGCGAAGGCGACCUUCUGGGCCGCCACUGACGCUGAGGCACGAAAGCGUGGGGAGCAAACGGG